GAUGAACGCUGGCGGCGUGCCUAAUACAUGCAAGUCGAGCGAACAGACGAGGAGCUUGCUCCUCUGACGUUAUCGGCGGACGGGUGAUUAACACGUGGUUAACCUACCUAUCAGACUGGGAUAACUUUGGGAAACCGUAGCUAAUACCGGAUAAUUUAUUGAACCUCAUUGUUCACUAGUUAAAGUCGGUUUUUCUUUCACUUAUAGCUUGAUCAGCCCCGCAUUCGCUAGUUGGUUAGGUAACGGCUUACCAACGCUACGACGCGUAGCCGACCUGAGAGGGAGAUCGGACACACGGGAACAGAGAAACGGUCCAGACUCCUACGGGAGGAAGCAGUAGGGAAUCUUACGCAAUGGGGGAAAGGCUGACAGAGCAAAGUCGCGUAAGUGAUGAAGGUGUUAGGAUCGGAGAACGCUGUUAGUAGGGAAGAACAAAUGUGUAAGUACCUAUGAACGUAUUGACGGUACCGAAUCAGAAAGCCACGGCUAACUACGUG
rnacentral:rRNA from 1 species